AUGGAGAGGGCAGGAGGUGACAAUGGCAGGGCACAGUGACAUCCCAGGGCUGCAGGGACUCACACCAACACCAAACCCAGCCAGGAAAGGUCCUGGAAUGAAUGGAGAGGGCACAGGUGACAGUGCCACAGCACAGGUGACAUCCCAGGGCUGCAGGGACACCAGGAGGGAGGGCAGGGCAGAGGCUGGAGCAGCCCCAGCACCAGGGGGAGCUGCCAGGGCAGGGAGCACCAGGAACACAACGGGGUUAAGCCAUAAAUACGUUAAAUAACCGAGCAAAUAAAUCCUCAGAGCUGCAAAUGUACACACAGAGACAGAAACCCCACUUUGCACAGGUCACGCCAAGGCAGCCCCUUUUAUCUAGCUA